CGAGCCGGUCGGGCGACCGCGUGCGCGGGUGCGAGCCCGCGCCCGAGGAAAGUCCGGGCUCCACAGGGCAGGGUGGUUGGCAACACCAACCCGGGGUGACCCGCGGGAAAGUGCCACAGAAAACAGACCGCCGUGGACCGCGAGGCCCGCGGCAAGGGUGAAACGGUGGGGUAAGAGCCCACCAGCGCCCGGGGUGACCCGGGCGGCUCGGUAAACCCCACCCGGAGCAAGGUCGAGAAGGGUCGCCCACGGGCGGCCCGCGCGAGUGUCUGAGGGCGGCCCGCCCGAGCUCGCGGGUAGACCGCUUGAGGCGUGCGGCGACGCACGCCCUAGAUGGAUGGUCGCCUCGCACGCUGUCCGCAGCGCGCGAACAGAACCCGGCUUAUAGGCCGGCUCGCCGU
rnacentral:RNase_P_RNA from 1 species